GCCUAUGUCGCUCACCUGCAAUGUCAGGAACUACAACCUUUUAGUAACAAUCAACAAUAAAGUGGGAUUACUCGAUCAAGAGUUCACUGAAAAUUUUAGUCAUUUUGACAUAUUUAGAUCCUAUCCUGGUGGUCAUGUUUCAUUCUUAAAUUAAAGUUUCUAGAUUUCUGUUAUGGUUUUCAAGAUAAAAGGGGAAAAAAUCAGGAAAUUUAUGGCAAUAAUUAUCUUUAAAAAGCAAUAACUUCAAUAACAAGUCGACUGAGGAUCUCGGCCUUGAUAAUUUAAUUGUAGGUUUAGUCCUGCUGGUCAUUUUCGCUUUCAAAGUUUCUAUUUAUUAUAUAUUAUAGUUUUCAACAUAAUAAGCAAACAUGCAAAGAUAGUAAUGAUAAAGAAAUAAUUGAUGCUAGCUAUUAUACUCUAUUGUAGUUUUAACAUGGGUAGGCAUUAUAUUCGUGAUUUUGCCCGAGCGAUAGCGAAAGCUUAAAACCACGAAUAUAAUGACUACCCAUG
rnacentral:lncRNA from 1 species